GUUGGUGUAGCACAGUCGGUAGUGCGUUUCAUUCGUGAUGAAGAGGUCGGAGGUUCGAUUCCUCUCACUAGCA
rnacentral:tRNA from 1 species